rnacentral:rRNA from 1 species
UACGUAGGGCGCAAGCGUUGUCCGGAAUUAUUGGGCGUAAAGAGCUCGUAGGCGGUUUGUCGCGUCUGCUGUGAAAACCUAAGGCUCAACCUUGGGCUUGCAGUGGGUACGGGCAGACUAGAGUGCGGUAGGGGUGACUGGAAUUCCUGGUGUAGCGGUGAAAUGCGCAGAUAUCAGGAGGAACACCGGUGGCGAAGGCGGAUCUCUGGGCCGUAACUGACGCUGAGGAGCGAAAGCAUGGGGAGCGAACAGG